rnacentral:rRNA from 1 species
UACGUAGGUGGCAAGCGAUACUCGGAAUCACUAGGCGUAAAGCGCAGGUAGGCGGUUUGGUAAGUCUUUUGUGAAAGCUCCCGGCUCAACUGGGAGAGGUCAAGGGAAACUACCGGACUUGAGUGUGGUAGGGGAUACUGGAAUUCCUGGUGUAGCGGUGAAAUGCGUAGAUAUCAGGAGGAAUACCUAUGGCGAAAGCAGGUAUCUGGGCCAUCACUGACGCUGAGAUGCGAAAGCUAGGGGAGCAAACAGG